UACAGAGGGUGCGAGCGUUAAUCGGAAUUACUGGGCGUAAAGCGUGCGUAGACGGUUAUUUAAGUCGGGUGUGAAAGCCCCGGGCUCAACCUGGGAAUUGCAUUCGAGACUGAAUAGCUAGGGUACGGUAGAGGGAAGUGGAAUUUCCGGUGUAGCGGUGAAAUGCGUAGAUAUCGGAAGGAACAUCAGCGGCGAAAGCGACUUCCUGGACCAGUACCGACGUUCAGGCACGAAAGCGUGGGGAGCAAACAGG
rnacentral:rRNA from 1 species